rnacentral:snoRNA from 1 species
UGGGAUGAUCCAGCUGGCUGAUGGAUUGCUGAUUAUUACAUUUAACCCUCUUUCUGAGC